GGCCGCGGGGGGGCGGAGUGGAGCUCGGAGCGGCGCAGCGUUGGAUCGUGCGGUCUCGGCGGGCGUCCGUAGGCGAAUGUCGAGCACCUCACGUUUUCCAAAAAGAUGACCUUCCUUUUGUCAUAACGUAUGAAAUCUAAUGAGAAAUCAGAUCCUGGACCUGCGGACCUUAUAAUUAUGAUCUAGGUCUUGAAGGAUGGCCGAUACAAGUUGGAGCUUGUUGCUCGGGCCUAUGGAAAGGCAAUUUAUGCUGCGGUGCAGUUUACGAAGCCAUGGAGGAGCAAAUUGACUCCUUAUGAGUGUGCUGCUUUCUUUGCAUAUCCAUCCGAUGAGACCACGACAGAGGUGCUGAGCACUCCAGCCUUCGAUGGUGAAGAAGUUGGACCAACAACACCUGCCGAAGACGCCAGGGUUUCAGGAGAGGCCGUGUAAGGGAACGUCGCCGGUUUGAUGUUUGUCGAACUGUCAAAUUCAAUUGACAGGAUAAGACAAACGACACUUCGCUCGAGACAGCAACGCGACCGGCGCAUCACAUUUUCAGAUCGUAUUUUUAAUAAUAAAAUUGUGUCUAGCUAGAAAUCGAUAAUACUUAACAACUAUUGUGUUCAUUGUGAUUACAAUUCAUUAAAAUUAAUUUGUAACUUGUA